CUACAUAUCAAUAAGCGGAGGAAAAGAAACCAACAGGGAUUGCCUUAGUAACGGCGAGUGAAGCGGCAAAAGCUCAGAUUUGAAAUCUCUUUUAUUUUAUAAAAGCGAAUUGUAAUCUGUAGAAGGUUGAAUGGCUGAAUAACUGAUUUGAGUUCCCUGGAAUAGGACGCCCUAGAGGGUGAGAGCCCCGUAAUUAUCAGAAGCUAAGCCAAUUAAUUCACCUUUCGACGAGUCGAGUUGUUUGGGAAUGCAGCUCUAAAUGGGUGGUAAAUUUCAUCUAAAGCUAAAUACCUGCCAGAGACCGAUAGCGAACAAGUAGAGUGAUCGAAAGAUGAAAAGCACUUUGAAAAGAGAGUUAAAUAGUACGUGAAAUUGUUGAAAGGGAAGCGCUUGCAAUUAGACUUGAUUUAUAAAUUCAGCUUGCUCACGGGCAAGUGUACUUUUUAUUUUAUCAGGCCAGCAUCAGUUUGGAGAGAUUAAUAAAGAUGGUAGAAAUGUAGCAAUUGCUUCGGCAGUUGUGUUAUAGUCUACUAUAUCAUUAAUUUACUUCUGGACUGAGGUCUGCCCCUUUUGGGAAGGAUGCUGGCAUAAUGAUUGUAAGCGACCCGUCUUGAAACACGGACCAAGGAGUCGACCUAUUAAGCGAGUGUUUGAGUGAUAAAACUCACACGCGUAAUGAAAGUGAACGGAGGUGUGAAGCGUAAGCUGCAACAUCGACCGAUCCUGAAGUUUACGGAUGGAUUUGAGUAUGAGCUGAAUGGGUCGGACCCGAAAGAUGGUGAUCUAUGCGUGAAUAGGGUGAAGCCAGAGGAAACUCUGGUGGAGGCUCGCAGCGGUUCUGACGUGCAAAUCGAUCGUCAAAUCUGCGCAUAGGGGCGAAAGACUAAUCGAACCAUCUAGUAGCUGGUUCCUGCGAAU
rnacentral:rRNA from 1 species